ACUACUUUUAUAAUCUGUAUAACAUUGUCGCGUGACCAAGCGUCUCAUAUAUAUAUGUAAGCAGAUACAUUUCAAAAAAAAAUUUUCCGCGACUUUUCGCGAACCAGACAAGCAGAUGCAUGAGAUUUUUCUUCGAUAUAUAUAUAUAUAUUAAACAAUGGUUUUUAAAUUCAACAUUUAUGGAUGUAAUGGAGUGUUCGAGCUUUUAAAGUGAGCAUAAAUUACACAUGUCUGAGGUAUUUACGACAUAUGGAGGAAAAGGGGUAACGUGACAAUAACGACGACUAUCAACAGUAUGGUACUAAAUUGCACUUUAUGGAAUCUGAUAAAUUGACAAUUAUUUUGUCUCGAUCAAUAGAAAUAUUCAAUUGUCGAAAAAAUUCACCGUAUCUCUGAAAACGUUAUAAAAAAAAACGUUUUGCAUUCAUCAUCGCCUCAAAAUUAAAUUAAUAAUGAGGAGGGACACUAUCGUAAUUGAGAGCGACAGAGCACCGUGGCAUAUCUUGAAAAAUCUACCCCAUUUCAGUUCGAGCAGUGAGAGAGAAGAUAAUUAUUACGAGUUUGGGCUGAUGGAAAGAGUAUAUAUAUAUAUAUGAAGAUCUCUCAAACGUUAAUCUAAUGAUUCACCUCUUAAUGUCGCAUCGUCUCUCAUUUAUUAACCCUCAACUUAAAUUAAUAUGUAUACACGAAUUUCAGAACUAACUCGAUUCUCACUCAUCAUUAUUAUAUUGAACGUGUCAACGUUGGGAAAAAGGAGAAAUAAUUAUAAAACUCCUAGUAUAAAUUGAUGAUAACG